CACAGUUGCAGGUUUAAUUGCUUUGCCUUUCGAUGCAUAUGAAGCAGGUCGAAAAACUACACCUUUAAAGGUGCUCGUAUUUUGUCGCAACAAGUUAGGAACGCUUGGAAGUGCUUCGGAGUCGGCUUUUCAUGGUGACCGCCAAAGUAGAUGUUUGUUUUUCGCGCAGUUUGGGGUGCAAGAUACAAGAUGCAUGCUGUUCAAAUAAAUUAGCCCAACACAGAUACGUGAGGGGGAUAGCUCUAACUUAUGCUUGUAUUGGAUCUUAAACAUUGAUGACUUUAUUGUUGUUACCAUAGAUACACGACAGAAGAAGACAAUCGGACGUAGAACUUCCGAUAGUUUACGCACCUUUAAUUUGUCAUUAUUUAUUUUGCUUUAAAAAUGUGCAUGAGCAGAAACGUGCACUAACUUGUUACAUAAUCCUCAGUUGUUAUAAAUAAAAAAAAAAUUAUACUUGACAUUCAAAUUACAGCAUGGAGACAACUGUUCGAGAACAGUAUAGCACUUCCUCACAGCGCAAAAUACAUGGUUAGAAUCUCUUAUGUUGAACCCGAUAUCACAAGCAAAACGGUUUGAACAUGACUAUAUUUUCUAGAUAGCAGUAAGUCUCUUUCUCAUGAUUCAGUAAAGAUGAUCUCUCGUUGACUAGUGUUUUCAGCCACACUAAACUAAACCAACUUAACGCUCAGAAUUUAUCAGCCAAAAUCAUUUAUCGGUCCUAUGCUAACACAGAAGAAAACCUUCAAAUUCAAUGAUAAUUUUACAUUCAAAAGUUUGCAUGAGGAUCGAUUAUUUCAAACUGUUCUCAUUAGAAAACAAAGAUAAAUUACACUUGAAAAUUUGCAUGAAUGUGAAUAAAUUUACACUUGAAGUCUUAGUGCCAUUUUGCAGCAAACAUCAUGGACUUGUUGAUUCUAAAAAGGAAGUACACGGACUAAGGAUAAAGAUUGACUUAAAGAAAGGAAGAAACAGCUCUUCAAAUAAAUUAUUAAAACAGGAUGGAGAAGGAAUGAAAUGUAGAAUAAGCGGAAAAUAACCCACGCACAAGAAACCGGUUUUCGAUGCAACACCUGGAAUUGCUCGACUAUUCAAAUGACGUUUUGGCGAGAUUGCUUUUCAAAUCAAUUUAAAGACUCAGAUUACGAUCUUGGCAAUAGAACUUUUGAGAAAAAAAGCGAGUAAACAUGAAAAAGGUCUUCCCAUACGAAAAAAUUGACAGGACGCUGAAAAAAAGGCUGGAAAUUAUGAACUGUUUAAAGGAUGAAUUCGUAAACAUCUGAAUGAAAAGCAAGGCAAUCCUCGUUUUUUGACUUCACUCGUUGAUAGCAAAAUUUCGUGCCUAGUAGCACAAUUCUAUAUUUAGAUUGUAGACUAUAGUUGUUUAUAACUAUUCUAGAAAAUUAAUCGCAAAAUUCAUAAUGACAGUAUUCUGAUUAAAAUCAUUUAGCUAAAGGCUUCAAAGCA